rnacentral:rRNA from 1 species
UACGGAGGAUGCAAGCGUUAUCCGGAAUGAUUGGGCGUAAAGCGUCCGCAGGUGGCUGUGUAAGUCUGCUGUUAAAGAGUGAGGCUCAACCUCAUAAAAGCAGUGGAAACUACACGGCUAGAGUGCGUUCGGGGCAGAGGGAAUUCCUGGUGUAGCGGUGAAAUGCGUAGAUAUCAGGAAGAACACCGGUGGCGAAGGCGGCCUGCUGGGCAGUUGCUGACACUGAGGCGCGACAGCGUGGGGAGCAAACAGG